rnacentral:rRNA from 1 species
CAGUAGCCACGGUAAUACGUAGGUGGCAAGCGUUGUCCGGAAUUAUUGGGCGUAAAGGGCUCGCAGGCGGUUUCUUAAGUCUGAUGUGAAAGCCCCCGGCUCAACCAGGGAGGGUCAUUGGAAACUGGGAAACUUGAGUGCAGAAGAGGAGAGUGGAAUUCCACGUGUAGCGGUGAAAUGCGUAGAGAUGUGGAGGAACACCAGUGGCGAAGGCGACUCUCUGGUCUGUAACUGACGCUGAGGAGCGAAAGCGUGGGGAGCGAACAGGAUUAGAUACCCCAGUAGUCCCUGUCUCUUAUAC